AACUAUAUUAAAUAUUUGCUGUGUUUACGAAUAGAUGAUAAAUACAGGAAGUGCAAGAAUCUAAUCAUAGAAAAGGAAUGCAUUAACUUAUUUUAUCUAGAUAUUAGAGUUUCAGUAAAUACUAAACGUCUUGCGCAUAGUUGUACUCAAUUCAGCAAAAACACAAAACCGAAAUUCCAUAUUUUAAAAACACCUUUGUUUCCGUUUGUGACAGCCAUAAAAGUCUGCAGGACUUGAAACUUUUACCAAUCCAACGACCUCAAUCUCUUUGAUUUUUGCCGACAAAUUUAGAACAUAGUUAGUAAUUGUUACAUCAUGCACUUAUAAAAGUACACCAUGACGACAAACCACUUUAUAAACAAUAAUCUAAGUUAUUGUUUUUGUCCCUAUAUUGGAUGAGAAAAAAGCUUCUACCCAUUCACUACAGUUAUCCAUCGCAAGCAGGAGAUCUUUAUUGCUUAUCGAAGA